rnacentral:rRNA from 1 species
UACGGGGGGGGCAAGCGUUGUUCGGAAUUAUUGGGCGUAAAGAGCUUGUAGGCGGUUUGUCGCGUCUGCUGUGAAAUUUCGGGGCUCAACCCCGAACUUGCAGUGGGUACGGGCAGGCUAGAGUGUGGUAGGGGAGACUGGAAUUCCUGGUGUAGCGGUGAAAUGCGCAGAUAUCAGGAGGAACACCUAUAGCGAAGGCAGCUUGCUGGGACGUUACUGACGCUAAGGCGCGAAAGCGUGGGGAGCGAACAGG